AUAAAUGGACACUAGAGGAUAGUGUUGAAUCUCGUAGUAGGCAUUUUCACCAUAAAGGAUGAAGAAAAAAUAUUGUUUACUUCCUGGAGGAGGCAGAGUCUUGAAAGCGUACAGACAUGCUGGUUGGAUAACAGUUCGUGUGGUGAAAGGGAAGACUUGUCCCGGGAGCCGCGUAUGCAUUGAGGCACUGCUAACCAUCCUACCUCGCAGAGACCUGCACCCUCGCCUGGUGUCGAAUCCCUCAAUGUCUUUGUGGUACAGUAUACCACUAGUCCCUCUGCAUUCAUCAUCUCUGUGGCAUCCUGCUACACUUACUCCUGUCGUCCUGUAGAGAUGGCCAUCGAUGACCGACUAGACUACACAACUCAAGGUGUUUACUUUGGAUGCCCUCCCAGGCACUCCUCCCAGGGCUUAAUGACUGGAUUUACUGCAUCAAUUAGCCAUCAGGGUCUCUGAGAGGCCUGGCUGGCUGAUCGAUUGUUCUGUAGCAGCUGAUGUCCCCUCGCCGUGCUGUUCUGCACUGCUCUGGACCAUGCUAACUGCAUGUCUGAAUGUAAACCUAGUACAAUGUAAUUAAAUUAAAUAAAACAUUUUCUACUCAAGGUUA
rnacentral:lncRNA from 1 species